rnacentral:rRNA from 1 species
AUUGAACGCUGGCGGCAGGCCUAACACAUGCAAGUCGAACGGUAACAGAAAGCAGCUUGCUGCUUUGCUGACGAGUGGCGGACGGGUGAGUAAUGUCUGGGAAACUCCCUGAUGGAGGGGGAUAACUACUGGAAACGGUAGCUAUUACCGCAUAACGUCGCAAGACCAAAGAGGGGGACCUUCGGGCCUCUUGCCAUCGGAUGUGCCCAGAUGGGAUUAGCUAGUAGGUGGGGUAACGGCUCACCUAGGCGACGAUCCCUAGCUGGUCUGAGAGGAUGACCAGCCACACUGGAACUGAGACACGGUCCAGACUCCUACGGGAGGCAGCAGUGGGGAAUAUUGCACAAUGGGCGCAAGCCUGAUGCAGCCAUGCCGCGUGUAUGAAGAAGGCCUUCGGGUUGUAAAGUACUUUCAGCGGGGAGGAAGGGAGUAAAGUUAAUACCUUUGCUCAUUGACGUUACCCGCAGAAGAAGCACCGGCGAACUCCGU